rnacentral:tRNA from 1 species
GAAAAAGUAUGCAAGAACUGCUAACUCAUGCUUCCACGAAUAAAAUCGUGGCUUUUUCA